rnacentral:rRNA from 1 species
AUCUACAGCCAUGCUACUCUGAACAAGCCCAAUCCCAUCUGAGCUCAGAAGCUAAGCAGGGUCGGGCCUGGUUAGUAUUUGGAUAGAGACCACCUAGGAAGACCAGGUGCUGUAAGCG